UACGUAGCCGAACUGAGAGGUUGAUCGGCCACAUUGGGACUGAGACACGGCCCAAACUCCUACGGGAGGCAGCAGUAGGGAAUCUUCCACAAUGGACGCAAGUCUGAUGGAGCAACGCCGCGUGAGUGAAGAAGGCUUUCGGGUCGUAAAACUCUGUUGUUGGAGAAGAAUGGUCGGCAGAGUAACUGUUGCCGGCGUGACGGUAUCCAACCAGAAAGCCACGGCUAACUACGUGCCAGCAGCCGCGGUAAUACGUAGGUGGCAAGCGUUAUCCGGAUUUAUUGGGCGUAAAGCGAGCGCAGGCGGUUUUUUAAGUCUGAUGUGAAAGCCCUCGGCUUAACCGAGGAAGCGCAUCGGAAACUGGGAAACUUGAGUGCAGAAGAGGACAGUGGAACUCCAUGUGUAGCGGUGAAAUGCGUAGAUAUAUGGAAGAACACCAGUGGCGAAGGCGGCUGUCUGGUCUGUAACUGACGCUGAGGCUCGAAAGCAUGGGUAGCGAACAGGAUUAGAUACCCUGGUAGUCCAUGCCGUAAACGAUGAAUGCUAGGUGUUGGAGGGUUUCCGCCCUUCAGUGCCGCAGCUAACGCAUUAAGCAUUCCGCCUGGGGAGUACGACCGCAAGGUUGAAACUCAAAGGAAUUGACGGGGGCCCGCACAAGCGGUGGAGCAUGUGGUUUAAUUCGAAGCAACGCGAAGAACCUUACCAGGUCUUGACAUCUUUUGAUCACCUGAGAGAUCAGGUUUCCCCUUCGGGGGCAAAAUGACAGGUGGUGCAUGGUUGUCGUCAGCUCGUGUCGUGAGAUGUUGGGUUAAGUCCCGCAACGAGCGCAACCCUUAUGACUAGUUGCCAGCAUUUAGUUGGGCACUCUAGUAAGACUGCCGGUGACAAACCGGAGGAAGGUGGGGAUGACGUCAAAUCAUCAUGCCCCUUAUGACCUGGGCUACACACGUGCUACAAUGGAUGGUACAACGAGUUGCGAGACCGCGAGGUCAAGCUAAUCUCUUAAAGCCAUUCUCAGUUCGGACUGUAGGCUGCAACUCGCCUACACGAAGUCGGAAUCGCUAGUAAUCGCGGAUCAGCACGCCGCGGUGAAUACGUUCCCGGGCCUUGUACACACCGCCCGUCACACCAUGAGAGUUUGUAACACCCGAAGCCGGUGGCGUAACCCUUUUAGGGAGCGAGCCGUCUAAGGUGGGACAAAUGAUUAGGGUGAAGUCGUAACAAGGUAGCCGUAGGAGAACCUGCGGCUG
rnacentral:rRNA from 1 species